rnacentral:lncRNA from 10 species
UUUAUUAAAAAAAAAAAAAAAAAUCAAUAUUUUUCCCUUCAGUUUCCAUCCAGAUAACUGAUAAUGAAACAAAGAGCUAAUUUCCCAAAGCAGGCAGAAAGCAUCAAAAAGCUCCCAGAGCUGAGUGUGCAAACUUCCUGUGCCAGUGCUUUGAUGUUAAUAAAGCACAAUUCCUGCUCCUAAAUUGCUCUCUUGUAAGAACAGCAGCUUCCAGAAAAAGAAGGCAGCACUUUCUGUUGCUUUAGUAGUGGACAACCCUAUAGGAGUUAAUGUAUGAACCAGAAAAGACAAUUCUUGAUUUCUUCUUAGGUUGAACUUCUUAAAGAAAUGUAUGUGACAACUGUAUAAUAAGAACCCUUGUGAGAUCCAAAAACCUGGGUUAGGAACUAAUAUUAUCAGUGAAAAAUUAAAGGGAAAGAUUAUCAACUAUUAAUAUUCCAGUGUCAGAGAGCUGUGAACAAAGAGUUGAGGCAGAGAUAUCUUUAAGGUUAAAGUAUGCAAAAUCUGUUGUUUACUUGUAAGAUCAUCUUUCUAGGUUUAUUGAUAGUUAAUAAAAAGCAGCAAAAUUUAUAAAAGUGAAAAUUUAGCCACUUCUACUUGUAAGCCAUCCUUGUUAGAGAAACUCUUUGUUUACUUAAGUCAUGUUUACUACAGGAAAUGAAAAAUGCUCAUUUGAGCUAUAAAAUGGACUCCGUGGUCUCUUAGUAAUUAAUUUAACCCAUGAUGACACGCAGUUCACAGGCUGAGAUGGAGGGAUAGGUAGAUGACAGAUACAUCCCUGCUAGAGAUCUUCAGAGCCCUAGCUUUAAAUUUCAUCCUUACAGACAUUCAAACUUUAAGUAAAUUGAUAACCUGUCUCCCACAGAUUAAAAAAUAAAUGAAGUGGAUAUGCACCCCAUCACGCAGGGCCACUCCCAGCAGAGGGAAGUGAAGCAGCCGGCCUCCUGUCCCUCCACAGGGUAACUAACGCUCAAGUGCAGGCCUUUCUAAAGGAGCUGCUCAGCAGGCGGCAGCCCAGCUCGGCCACCGGGCUCUGGCUGUUAUCAUUCAAAUGUGCCUUUUUUAUGGACUGAGUCUGCUAGAUGCAUUCAUUAGUUAAGGAAAUGGAAAAUCAUGCGGAGCUCCAGCACCAGAAAGCGGGUACCAUUAGUAUCCCUCCUUUAUCAGUGAGGAAACUAGAGCACAGAGGCUUUCAGUGACGUCACACAGCAGGCUGUUGACAGCUGGGAUCUGAAGGCCCUGGAAUGGAAAGAUUCAGUCUCAUAUUGCCCAAUUCGGUUCGCUGGACUCUGCUCAGCAAGCAGCCGCGUGCGAAGCACUGCUCUUGUUCAAACUAAGUGAGAUGGCCUAGGUGAAAAUGCUUCAGGAAAAGCACACAAAUGCACUUAAAAUUAAAGUAUAACCACGUGGCUAGCAAAGCGGAAAGUGAAAUGCUUCUAAACCAUCAGGUCUAUAAAAUAAACUAUGGGAACAUGGAAAACUAUAUCCAAAUAUUAGAAGGCUUAAAAAUUCUUCUGUUUUUUCGGCUGGGCGUGGUGGCUCACACCUGUAAUCCCAGCGCUUUGGGAGACCAGAGGUGCACACCAUCAUGCCAGGCUAAUUUUUGUAUUUUUUGUAGAGAUGGGGUCUCACAGUGUUGCCCAGGUUGGUCUCCAACUCCUGGGCUCAAGUGACCUGCCUCCUCAAUCUCUCAAAGUACUGGGAUUACAAGGAUAAGCUACCACGCCUGGCCAAUUUUAUUCUUUUGUAUGUGGGUAUCAGUUACUACAGAAUAAAAUCCAACUCCUUGGCAUACCAGA